AGAGAGAGAGGAGUUUGAUCCACAGAGAGAUAGAGAAAGGGCGAAGAGUUUGCAUGAUCGAGCCCGGAGUUCAGUAGCCUGGAGAUUUGACGAUUUUUGUCUCACGGAUAUAGGUCGUGGCUUGCUAAUCAGUUUUGGUUCUGCUUCUUUAACAUCCCUGUUUGAUAUCUUCAAGAUUUAUUCACAUGUCAAUGAUUUGCUGUGGAUAAGAAGGAAAGGGACUGUGAUAGAGGUCGAAAGAGACUCUGAGAGCGAAGAGGCUCUUUUGCUUUAACCAAAACACUCCAAUAGCUCAAGUGAAACUCGCCUGCAGUCUAUUUGUUCUUUUGAUUUGACGAUGAAGGUCUCUAAUCUGACGAUCCGUACUAUAGCAUUUAAAAGGUAAUCCCCAUCUUAAAGUUUCCUCGCCGAUGCUUGAUUAGAAACUUGAAAAACAAACACAUUCAUCAGAAGCUUGGUUGAGACGGAGGGACGAGAAGAUCGAGGAGGACGAAGAUGGAACUGGGUCUUAAGAUACUCCAAAAUGGUCCAAGUGAGGGAUAGAAGAGGGGGGAAGAUCUCGGCGAGAAUAGACCGGGUGGAAGUGGUUUUUGUAGGUAUUUUUGCUUCUUUGGUGGCUUUGAUGUUCAAUUGCGUGAAGAAAGAUGACAUUGAUUACUCUCCUUAAGAAGAGGGCGAGUGGAGGCUUAAAAGAUCAUCUGACAAUACAAUACAUUCUAUUGUAUUGUGUGCCAGAUAUUGAAGGGUUGAGUAGUUUUGAUGGGGAUGUUCUUCAGUCGACCAUAUUCAAAUCCGGGGUUGACUUCAAGAACAACAAUGUUUUGGUGGUUGUCUCUGGGAAUUCUGGCAUGGAAAUUGCUUUGGAUCUGGCAAACGAUGGUGCAAAGACUUCAAUCAUUGUUCAAAGCCCGGUAACUUACUGUUGGAGUUGGAGUAGCCAAAUUAUUUGAUGCAAGAUUUGCUUAAAUUUUCCGGAAAGUUUCAGAAAUUCAGAAAUUUGAGCAGAUUAGGAGAGAAUUUAUUUCAGCAGAGUCAAGGUUGUUCACUCUUGGGAAUACAUGAUACACCAACAUUACAGGCAAAGGAAAGACUUUUUCUUGAUUGAAAAUGGCAGAUACGCAAUUUACAACAGUGAAUUAUGGAGCAGUAAUGUAGCUGGAAAAGAAGAAACUAAAUCUACACAAAUAAAAAUGCAACAUUUCUUUUUUUCGGUGUAGCUUACUGAAAUCAUUCAGAUUUUAAACAUGUCAAAGGUUAUAUCACAGUGGAAGUUUACAAGGAUGGUUCUCCAAAGGUUGUGGAUAGAUUUCUCGAUUUAUGGUUUUAUUCGGAAUCUUAUCAAGAGGAAGCAACUAAUUGAUGCUGUUAGAUGCAUUUGCAUCUUGCAGUUAAUUGACAAGUUCUGCCAAAAAAAGAAGAAGAAUUUAUCCAACCUCUGGCUGCAUAUAUGGCUCCAUGCACUCUGAACAAAAAAGUAAUUACACUAUUGGUUCAUCACAGCCUCAACCAACCAUUACAAAGUUCAUUCAGCACAAACUGGAAGAAAAAGAGGAGGAAAGAAAUGAAAACAUAGGACAAAAUGAUCUUCUUGCACGAUGCAGAAUAAUUUGCUAUGCAGAAUAAUUUGCUAUCUCCAAUACAAAAACAGCAUCACAGGCUACAUUCAUUGACAAGAGUCACCACAACAUUCAUAUCGGUCAGGUUGAAGAGAUACUUGGAGAUGAGGCAUGUUGAUGGAAAGCUGGCCUUCGAGAAGCUUAUCUGCUUUGCUUGCAUUUGGCCCUUGAAAAAUGGAUAUAUUCAAGAAAUUCAGAAGACCAGAUUUUAAAAACUCCUAGAGACACAGAUUUCGAAACUUAAAGAAGUUGUGCUCCAAGGGACUGAACCAUAAUCUGGAUCAAUUUUCAGUGAGAUUAGUGGAAUAACAAGCCACAAAACCUCAAAUUUUCAGGCCAACAUUUAUGAAACACUUCUCAUUAUUGUGUUCUAUUUAUAGCUUCAUUAAACUAUACUUACCAAGUUUGAUUUGAAGUUAUUAAUUCCAGUGAGAACUUCGUGUAACGUGUUCUAAUAAUGCAGCUAAAAAAUUCAAAAGCUGUACCAACCUCAAAGGCUGCGUACAUCUUCUGAAUUCUUUAACUGCAUGAUUAAAACAGGUUACAUGAAUUUCUCCACCGGAAUCAAUAAAUUCAAACCAAACCAAAUCUGUAAAUUUCAACAAAACAUUUAAACUUCAGUUAUUCCAAUAACAUAUAACAAUAAUUCCCGCAGCAAAGCGCGGGCACUCUUUCUCGUUAUAACUAUACUAAAGCGCAAACGGAGUGACGACA